GGUAAUGGCCUACCAAGGCGACGACGGGUAGCCGCCUGAAAGGUGGACGGCCACACUGGGACUGAGACACGGCCCAGACUCCUACGGGAGGCAGCAGUGGGGAAUAUUGCACAAUGGGCGCAAGCCUGAUGCAGCGACGCCGCGUGAGGGAUGAAGGCCUUCGGGUUGUAAACCUCCUUUCAGUAGGGAAGAAGCGAAAGUGACGGUACCUGCAGAAGAAGCGCCGGCUAACUACGUGCCAGCAGCCGCGGUAAUACGUAGGGCGCAAGCGUUAUCCGGAAUUAUUGGGCGUAAAGAGCUCGUAGGCGGUUUGUCGCGUCUGCCGUGAAAGUCCGGGGCUUAACCCCGGAUCUGCGGUGGGUACGGGCAGACUUGAGUGAUGUAGGGGAGACUGGAAUUCCUGGUGUAGCGGUGAAAUGCGCAGAUAUCAGGAGGAACACCGAUGGCGAAGGCAGGUCUCUGGGCAUUAACUGACGCUGAGGAGCGAAAGCAUGGGGAGCGAACAGGAUUAGAUACCCUGGUAGUCCAUGCCGUAAACGUUGGGCACUAGGUGUGGGGGACAUUCCACGUUUUCCGCGCCGUAGCUAACGCAUUAAGUGCCCCGCCUGGGGAGUACGGCCGCAAGGCUAAAACUCAAAGGAAUUGACGGGGGCCCGCACAAGCGGCGGAGCAUGCGGAUUAAUUCGAUGCAACGCGAAGAACCUUACCAAGGCUUGACAUGAACCGGAACGGCGCAGAGAUGUGUCGGCCACUUGUGGCCGGUUUACAGGUGGUGCAUGGUUGUCGUCAGCUCGUGUCGUGAGAUGUUGGGUUAAGUCCCGCAACGAGCGCAACCCUCGUUCCAUGUUGCCAGCGGGUUAUGCCGGGGACUCAUGGGAGACUGCCGGGGUCAACUCGGAGGAAGGUGGGGACGACGUCAAAUCAUCAUGCCCCUUAUGUCUUGGGCUUCACGCAUGCUACAAUGGCCGGUACAAAGGGUUGCGAUGCUGUGAGGUGGAGCUAAUCCCAAAAAGCCGGUCUCAGUUCGGAUUGAGGUCUGCAACUCGACCUCAUGAAGUCGGAGUCGCUAGUAAUCGCAGAUCAGCAACGCUGCGGUGAAUACGUUCCCGGGCCUUGUACACACCGCCCGUCAAGUCACGAAAGUUGGUAACACCCGAAGCCGGUGGCCUAACCCGUAAGGGGGGAGCCGUCGAAGG
rnacentral:rRNA from 1 species